GUGUGUUCCAGGUAAAUCCGGUUCACUUUAACACUGAGGCGUGAUGACGAGGCACUACGGUGCUGAAGCAACAAAUGCCCUGCUUCCAGGAAAAGCCUCUAAGCAUCAGGUAACAUCAAAUCGUACCCCAAACCGACACAGGUGGUCAGGUAGAGAAUACCAAGGCGCUUGAGAGAACUCGGGUGAAGGAACUAGGCAAAAUGGUGCCGUAACUUCGGGAGAAGGCACGCUGACACGUAGGUGAAGUGAUUUACUCAUGGAGCUGAAGUCAGUCGAAGAUACCAGCUGGCUGCAACUGUUUAUUAAAAACACAGCACUGUGCAAACACGAAAGUGGACGUAUACGGUGUGACGCCUGCCCGGUGCCGGAAGGUUAAUUGAUGGGGUCAGCGCAAGCGAAGCUCCUGAUCGAAGCCCCGGUAAACGGCGGCCGUAACUAUAACGGUCCUAAGGUAGCGAAAUUCCUUGUCGGGUAAGUUCCGACCUGCACGAAUGGCGUAAUGAUGGCCAGGCUGUCUCCACCCGAGACUCAGUGAAAUUGAACUCGCUGUGAAGAUGCAGUGUACCCGCGGCAAGACGGAAAGACCCCGUGAACCUUUACUAUAGCUUGACACUGAACAUUGAGCCUUGAUGUGUAGGAUAGGUGGGAGGCUUUGAAGUGUGGACGCCAGUCUGCAUGGAGCCGACCUUGAAAUACCACCCUUUAAUGUUUGAUGUUCUAACGUGGACCCGUGAUCCGGGUUGCGGACAGUGUCUGGUGGGUAGUUUGACUGGGGCGGUCUCCUCCUAAAGAGUAACGGAGGAGCACGAAGGUUGGCUAAUCCUGGUCGGACAUCAGGAGGUUAGUGCAAUGGCAUAAGCCAGCUUGACUGCGAGCGUGACGGCGCGAGCAGGUGCGAAAGCAGGUCAUAGUGAUCCGGUGGUUCUGAAUGGAAGGGCCAUCGCUCAACGGAUAAAAGGUACUCCGGGGAUAACAGGCUGAUACCGCCCAAGAGUUCAUAUCGACGGCGGUGUUUGGCACCUCGAUGUCGGCUCAUCACAUCCUGGGGCUGAAGUAGGUCCCAAGGGUAUGGCUGUUCGCCAUUUAAAGUGGUACGCGAGCUGGGUUUAGAACGUCGUGAGACAGUUCGGUCCCUAUCUGCCGUGGGCGCUGGAGAACUGAGGGGGGCUGCUCCUAGUACGAGAGGACCGGAGUGGACGCAUCACUGGUGUUCGGGUUGUCAUGCCAAUGGCACUGCCCGGUAGCUAAAUGCGGAAGAGAUAAGUGCUGAAAGCAUCUAAGCACGAAACUUGCCCCGAGAUGAGUUCUCCCUGAGACUUUAGGUCUCCUGAAGGAACGUUGAAGACGACGACGUUGAUAGGCCGGGUGUGUAAGCGCAGCGAUGCGUUGAGCUAACCGGUACUAAUGAACCGUGAGGCUUAACCUUACAACGCCGAAG
rnacentral:rRNA from 2 species